CCGGAACAUAUCCUGGACAACAGCAACAGAGGUCCACGUAAGUAGUGACAAGGUGGUGUUGGUCUUCUAAGGAUCCCUGCUUAUUGGAACUUAUGCUCCUUACACACAUGGGCUGUUGUUUAUUUUACAAUUGACACCUAGAUAAUAAAAACUGUUACGGGAAACUCAUACCUUAAACAUACACGCAGGUAACCUUUAAACAUACAAAAAGAAUCUAUCAUCCAUGGGCUGAAGAUGCUUCAGUUUAUGUAGUGCAUACAAUAGCCAGCCCCAGGGUCACUGCAAAAAGAAUGCCGAGUGACAGUGGAGGCACAUGACAAAAUCACUCUGCAAAUUCCAGGAAAUAGACAAAAGGGAAGGAUAAUGCUAGAAUUGCCCUUUAUACACUUUUAUUUUCUGCACUGAUAACUUAAUGUAUAUGUAUAAUUUGUAGUAAUCUCUAUCUAUUUAAACAUAUAUAAUAUGUAGAUCGAUAGGUAGAUAGAUAGAUAGAUAGAUAGAUAGGAAUGCAGAAAGUUAACACCUGUUUUGUUUCUGAUUCAGAAAAUACACAUAUUCAUUGGUUCUAAAUUAGCUACAUAGGGCACUGAAAGUAAAUAAUUAAAAAAAUAAUUGGUUUAGCAGUAAUUAGUUAAUUAGUUAAUGCCACUAUUCACUUCGGUCAAAAAAUGGUAAUGAAAAAUGUUUGGAAGGUUAUUUGAAACAAAAAAAGGGGGGUUAUGACUGUGCUGACAAGCAGAAAUGGCUACAAUAUUGCCUGGCCUAAUGGCUACAUAUAUCAGCUAUGCAAUGACAAUUCUGAGUUAACAAAAUUAGAUUAUUAGAUAUCUGGACACAGACAUACACAUACAUGCCAACUCCUACAAAAACACACAAAGACACAUGAGCACACACAGAUUCAUACACGCACACACAUACAUUCAUAUACAUGCAGAUACUCAUAUACACACACAUACAGUCACAUACACACAGAGAUUCAUACAUAUACACACACAGACUUAUAUACACACAGACAUUCGUAUACACACUCAUAAUUACAGCUAUACAAACAAAUAUAACAGACUCCCUUUUCUUACCUUGACAGGGAGAGCUAGAAUGGAACCUCAUCCCAGGGGUCUAGUGAGGAGAUGCUGAGAUCGGUCUCUAGGGAGCUGGAAAAUCAGUGCAGAGUGAUCCCAGCGCUCUCUCUGUGCCUGCACCUUAAGUAUAGCUACGGGUGUGGGGUGUGGGGGGGGGCACACUCUGGUGGAUGGGUACCCUUUGCCCCCUGCAACUUGUCACCACCACCCUGCUUCAGUCCCCUUAGUAUGCCACUGGAGAGAACUUAAUUGUGUAAUGAUUGAUUAUAAUCUUGUUUGUUCCUUUUUUAAAUCCAAAAGGAAAAGGAAAAAGUCAGAGGGCAGUUGAGCACCCACUCUCCCCUUCCACCCUGACAACAACAGCAGAGCUUUGCCACACAUCCAGCCUGUAGUGUCAGUGACUAACCUCAAGGUUCUUUUUUUUACUUUGUGCCUUAGUAGCAGCAGGAGUAGGAGCCAUUGUCUUGGAAAAAAGGGGAGUUUUCAAAAAAGAAAUGCCCACUUUCGUUUUCAUUUUGACUUAUAAAUUAUCCAAAUGUUUCAUAUGGAAUUACUCCUGCUACUCCUGCUAGUGCUCCCCUUUAUUUAAAUGACUUUUAUUGUCGUGGUUUCACCCUACCUUGCUACCGCCACACACAGUUGGGAGAAACUGAUGAUAUGUUUUUUUUACCCACCCUGGAAGACGGUCAAUAACACUAUUAACCGGAUGUGUGGGAGAGCAUUGUUCUUCUCAGAGUAGAAAGGGUCAUCAAUAGUGAUGUCCCGAACGGUUCGCUGGCGAAUAGUUCCCGGCGAACAUAGCGUGUUCGCGUUCGCCACGGACGCCGAACAUAUGCGAUGUUCGGUCCGCCCCCUAUUAAUUUACUAAUACUAAGUAAAAAUUACUUAGUAUUAGUAAAUUGUGCCCCUACUCGCAAUACCGUGAGUAGGGGCAUGUCUAUUAAACAGUGAGCAGCCUGUGGCUGCUCACUGUUAAAAAAAAAAGGGUCCCCACCCCGGUGGGGGCCCUAAAUACUAAUAGGGGGGGACCUAUUGUCCUCCCCCCGUCCCCCACCCCUGAGUGGUGGGUGGGGGCCCUAAAAAUAACAAUAAGGGGGGGACCUAUUGUCCUCCCCCCAGCCCCCACCCCUGAGCGGUGGGUGGGGGCCCUAAAAUUAACAAUAAGGGGGGGACCUACUGUCCCCCCCGGCCCCCACCCCUGAGCGGUGGGUGGGGGCCCUAAAAUUAACAAUUAGGGGGGGGACCUACUGUCCACCUCCGGCCCCCACCCCUGAGCGGUGGGUGGGAGCCCUAAAAUUAACAAUAAGGGGGGGACCCACUGUCCCCCCCCGGCCCCCACCCCUGAGUGGUGGGUGGGGGCCCUAAAAUUAACAAUAAGGGCCCACCCCUGAGCGGUGGGUGGGGGCCCUAAAAUUAACAAUAAGGGGGGACCUAUUGUCCCUCCCGGGCCCCACCCCUGAGCGGUGGGUGGGGGCCCUAAAUACAAAGGGGGGGGACCCUAGUCACCCCUUCCCCCCCAAAAAAAUAUGAGCUCCCUACCUACCCCCCUCACCCUAAAAAUAAUGAGGGGGGGACCUUUAACUAAAAACCUAUAAAAAAAAAUUAGAUACAAAUAACUUAUCAUUUGAUGUUUUCUUUCUUCUACAAUCUUAUUUUUUCAGCCCCAAAAACGGCCAAAUAAAAAGCCAUAAGAACCGACACAAUUAAAAAAAAACAAACCAAAAAAAAAAGAGCGCACAAAAAAAUAAUCCAUCUUCACCCAUGGAGGGCUCCGCACAGACUGAGCUCUGCAGGGCGGGGGAAGGCUUAUAAAGCCUUGCCACGCCCUGCAAUUAGGCUAAGAACACUCUGAUUGGCUGGUUUAAGCCAAUCAGAGUGCUCUUUGUCAUUUUACACAGCGUGGGAAAAUUCAAAAUAAUUUUCCCACGCUGUGUAAAAUGACACAGAGCACUGUGAUUGGAUGGCUUGAAAUCCAUCCAAUCACAGUGCUCUGUGUCAUUUUACACAGCAUGGGAAAAUUGAUAUAGAUGUCUUCCUGUAGGCCUGUGAGCCUCUUGUCCAGUUCCGAUGCCACAUGGGAUUUUAUGUCCAUGAUGGCUUCUUUAAGCAUGCUCUUCAUGUGCUGUAAGGUGAGAGGGGCGUCUGGUGCUGUGGUGUGUUCAUUUCCCUUGAAGUCUGAGCUUGUUUCCUCCAUGCUUUGGCGGGAAUAUGACUGGCCUGGUUCUUGCUGAGGGCGGAACAUCGUGGCGACCGAUGGGGUUUGUUCUUUUUUCUAUUUUCCGCCUCCCAUCGUGGUGUUUUGUGCUGAGUGGGUAGUGUGUUGUUUCUCGAGUUUUCUGUGGUAGUUUUAUUGCUCGUGUGUGCGGAUGUUUGCAGAUUGAAUUUGCUGGGAAGUGGGAGCUAUAGAAUUAAGCUGCCAUCUUCCUCAACGGUCAGGCCACGCCCCCCCAAUUGUUUGCACUUUUAACACUGGCAUAUGACACUUUUUUAUGUUUAACAUAUUUGCACUUUAUAAGUAACUAUCUUGAGCAGGCACUUUGUCACUUUAUAUUAUCUUUUAAACUAAAGCAAUGGUGGUCAACACAUUGAACUAUAGAUUUCAAUUAUAUAUUUCAACAUGCACUUUAUCCUUAUACAAGCACUUCAUCCUCUUUCAUUCACUCCCCCUAUUCCUUAGAACGAGCCACAGAUUGCACUGUAUCAUUAUAACCGCAACCCUAUUCCCAUGGCGACAAAGUUUGUACCACGUCCUUAUGGAAAUGGACGCGAUGACGUCAUGACGUCACGGGGGCGGAGUUUCUUUGCACAUGCGCACAGGGCAACACAGAACGCCGAUCGGAAAUGCACUUCACCUGGGGGUAAGCCAAUUUGUUUACUGUAUUUUGCUAUAUACGUCUGUCAUUUUGAUUGUGUUAUUGUAUUGAUCCUGAGGAAAGUCCUGUUUGGUGGACUGAAACGUUGAUCGUGAUUUUUUUAAUAUGAAUUAAUAAAGAAUAGAACUUUUAAAGUCUGUGAGUGCUGCUAUCUCUUUUGGAUACCUUGAUAUAAAUAUAUAUAUAUAUAUAUAUAUAUAUAUAUUAAUAUCAAAAUACAGUUAGAAUAAAAUUUCAUAUAGAUAUAUAAUUCUUUUUUAAAUUUUUAUUAUUUUUAUAUUUUUUUAUUUAAUUUAAUUUACUUAUUAUUUGUAUUUUAUAAUAAUAUAUAUAUAUAUAUAUAUAUAAUAUAUAUAGUUAUUAUAUAUAUUAUAUAUACAUGGCCCCUGGGGUCCUAAUUCGCCAUGGGGAGACUGUUCGGGCUGCAGGCAGUCUCCCCACACCGGGAGCACCACCGAUCGCAGCCGGGGAAACGACGGCGACCGGGUGAGUACAUGUUACCGUUAUGACGGUUCAGGACCGUAACCGGUCCUCAACGGUAUGUUAGCGAUGAUGGUCCUGAAUUGUCAUCGGUCAUCAAGGGGUUAAAACUGUAUAUUGGUAAUUAGUUUCACACUAGGAUAAAUGACAAACUGCCUGCUUCCACUCAAAGUUUCCUAUAGCAAAAACCUAACGUUAGUCUCACACUAGAAACGAUUACCUAGGUUAGCUCACUCUGCAACACAGGCAGUGCAAUGGUAAACACACAGAAUCACUGCUGGUCUGUCUCCCACAAUAGCUACGGUCAAAGUGUCUGGAAAAAUCUUGUUUAAGAAAAUAGUUGUUUUAUUCCUCCUCCUUUUGUCCCUGUAUCAAUCAGUUGUCACUUGAUCUAUGAAUAAAAUCAACAUGUGUAUGUAUGUGUGUAUAUAUAUAUAUAUGAUCUACAUAUCUAAUACACAUUUUCUCUAAUGUUCUCAUUUCUAUUUUUCACUUUAACACUAACUUCUUUCAUUACUAAAAUAUCCCUAUCCUUUCGCUCACCUGUCCCUGGCAACACCAUCGUCAUUACUUCCACCUUACUCCCCUCUCUAUUCAUCCCAUGCACUCUACACAUACCUUUUCCACCUUAUCUCCACCAACUCCUCCCAAAUACUCUGUUUGCAAUAUUAUUAAAUCCACUGCUGUCCAUGACUUCUUCAUCUCUCGUUCAAUAGAUUUACUAGCCUUAACAGAAACCUGGCUCUCCCCCUCUGACACUGCCACCCCUGCAUCUUUGUCCUUCGGUGGUCUCCAACUUACCCACAACCCAAGAAACUCUGAAUGUAAAGGUGGUGGUGUUGGGUUUCUCCUCUCCCCUCACUGCUCUUUUAAACCUCUUCCCACCCCCCCUUCCCUCUCUUUCCCGUCAUUUGAAAUACACUCAAUUCGCCUUUUCAAACCCUUCUCUGCUAACAUUGCUGUUAUUUACCGUCCCCCUGGUUCCCCUCUUCUCUUCCUUGACCACUUUGCUGCCUGGCUACCCUAUUUCCUCUCUUCUAACAUUCCAUCCCUAAUUCUCUGGGACUUCAAUAUUCCUAUUAACCCACCUUUGACCUCUGCAGCCUCUAAACUACUUUCAAUUACUUCCUCCCUCGGGCUAUCACAGUGGGCUAAUUCUCCCACCCAUGUAGCUGACAAUACCCUUGACCUAAUCUUCACUUAUGCAUGUACAGUAUGUAAUAUCUGCAACACUCCAUUUCCUCUCUCUGAUCACCAUCUCUUAUCAUUUGCUCUCGUGUACCCCCUCACCCAACAACCUCAGCCUAAACCCCCUCAACUCAGGAGGGACUUUAAUUCUCUUGAUCUCCAGCAGUUGUCAGCUGAUAUUGAUUCACGACUGCUGUCCAUCCCUUCCCUCUCCUGUCCUUCACUGGCCAUCUCCGCAUAAAACACUACCCUCACCUCUGCCUUGAACGCUGCAGCACCGCUCCAAACAAGUACCUUGAGGAGGACCCGCCCCCAACCAUGGCAUACUAAAUCAAGACGCUACCUUCAAAGAUGCUCCCGUUGUGCUGAACGCUCCUGGAGGAAGUCUAGCACCCAGUCAGACUUUCUCCAUUAUAGAUUCAUAUUGUGUUCAUACAGCGCAGCCCUUGCCCUUGCCAAACAGUCCUACUUUUCCUCUCUCAUUAGUUCAUGCUCCCACAACCCAAGGCUUCUCUUUGACACCUUUAAUUCUCUACUUCGCCCUGCUGUGGCCACCCCCCAAACUAACCUUACUGCUGAUAACUUUGCAUAUUACUUUACUGACAAGAUUCAACAGCUAAGGAAAGAAUUCUCCCCUCCUUGCCUUGUAACCCUCUCCUGAUUGGUCUUCCCAAAAGCCGUACUGCACCGCUACAGUCCGUAAUGAACGGUGCUGCCAGACUGAUUUUCCUCUCUAGUCAUUUCUCUCACACCUCACCCCUCUGCCAGUCCUUACAUUCGCUUCCUGUAUGCUAUAGGAGUUUAUUUAAAGUACUAAUUCACACCUAUCAAGCACUGAACAACUCUAGCCCCUCUUAUAUCUCCUCACAGAUCCAUAGGUAUGUCCCUUCUCGGUCUCUCCGCUCUGCACGUGACCACCUCCUGUUCGUUGUCCGCACCUGUACGGCCAACUCACACUUGCUGGACUUCUCGCGGGCGGCUCCCUUCCUAUGGAAUAGCCUGCCUACCGCCAUCAGACUCUCCCCUAGUCUUACAUCUUUUAAGAAGUGCCUUAAAACCAAUCUCUUUAGGAAAGCUUAUGGCCUCCCAGAGUAACCUCUACCUCACAUACCUGUCUCUUGCUCUCUCCUAAAGGGCACCCCACCUCCUAUAGAAUGUAAGCUCGAUUGAGCAGGGUCCUCUUCAACCUAUUGUUCCCGUAAGAUUAUUUGUAAUUGUCCUAUUUAUAGUUAAAUCCCCCUCUCAUAAUAUUGUAAAGCGCUAUGGAAUCUGUCGGCACUAUAUAAAUGGCAAUAAUAAUAAUAAUAAAUAAUAACAUUAAGUGGCUGUCCCCUAACCACCGUUUUUCUGGAGCCAGGAAUGGUACUCCAAAUCAUGAAUGAAUCUUGAAUGAAAAUGAGCAUGUUUGGGUCUGUGCAAGUCUGUUUCCCCAAAAUUCUGGCACCUAACUGUUUGGAAAUCAGAAAUUGGAGGUGGUCCGAAAUAAAUCUCUAGUUGUAGUGCAGAAUGUAUGUAGUUUGUGUUCUCAUCCUUUUAAUGUGCCUAUAUGCAGUAACAGAAGUGAGCUAUGAAAACUGGACUAUGCAAGUAAUGAGGAAAUCAGAUUAUUCAUUGUCUGCUAAAAGAUUUGUUUACCUUUCAUCCCUGGAAGAUUUAGAAAACAUUUUGUUUAAAUAGUGCAUGUUUAAUUAUCAGACUAAAAUAUGUCUCAAACAGGUAACCUAGCAUUGAUUAUGUGUUUUCUAUCACGCAUUUGUCAUUUACUAACAGCUAAAACCGAAGCAGCAAAUCACGCCAAAUAAAUUUAGGGUUAUUCUGUGUCUAAAUUUGAUUGAAAUGCACUGUAUUAAACAAAAAAAUUUACCCUAAAUAUGAUAUGAGGAUCUCCAGCACUCUUGUAAUUUCAGGAUAUUACGGCAACUGCAGAACUCUCAGUUCUCCCAUACAGUGCCCCAGGUGGAGGAGAAAAGGCUUAAACAAAAUGGGUUUAAAACCUUUCUAGCCAGGAAGAUAUUUGAAAACUGUUUCGCCAGCUGUAACUUUGCAACACUCAUCCCUCAUUGCAGUCAAUGCCCUCUGACAGUAUUUUAAUGUUUUUAAAACAUAUUGUAGUAUACCUCUUCGUUUUACAAUAUAGAAAGUUUUUAUUUUUUUGCAAAGGACCUGUUAGAUGCACGUCCUGACUCAUCUGUGAAUAAUUCGAAACAUGCGGCAUGCAACAAUGCAGCAAUGUUAGAUGCACUUCCUGACUCAUCUGUGAAUAAUUUGAAGCAUAGGGCAUGCAACAAUGCAACAAUGCAACAAUGUUAGAUGCACUUCCUGACUCAUCUAUGAGUAAUUUGAAACACAGGGCAUGCAAUAAUGCUACACAGAACCUAUUUAUUUAUUUUUGGGGCGGUGGGGAAGGGGAGAUUUGAGUUCUGAGAAUAAUAUCACCUGCAAUAUAAAUCAAGCCUUGCAAAUGCAUCCACCAUCUCUGUUUUAUAAAUUACAGGAAGAAGAGGUGCUCCCCCAAUUAUAAAAGUACUAAUAGAAUAUGUACACACAUAGCAGGAACUUGCAAGACAAAGCUAUCGAGAAAUCUGACCAAGAAAUUGAAAUGAACAGACUACUCUAUAAUCCUUAAAAUAAAAUUGUCCUUAUCAAGUGACUUUAUUAAAUCUUAAUUCCUGCCAUAUUUAUGAUUGCAGAUUCCUCCCAAUAUUUUCUGUCUUGUGUUUUCUCCAACGUAAAACAAACAAUCAACGGUUUAUAAAUAAUUGUCUUUUUUU